UUUGUACUCCCUCAGUUCGGAAUUACUUGUCGCAGAAAUGGAUGUAUCUAGAUGUAUUUUAGUUCUAGAUACAUCCAUUUCCGAGACAAGUAAUUCCGAACGGAGGGAGUAGUAG
rnacentral:pre_miRNA from 1 species